GAUGAACGCUGGCGGCGUGCCUAAUACAUGCAAGUCGAGCGAAUGGAUUAAGAGCUUGCUCUUAUGAAGUUAGCGGCGGACGGGUGAGUAACACGUGGGUAACCUGCCCAUAAGACUGGGAUAACUCCGGGAAACCGGGGCUAAUACUGGAUAAUAUUUUGAACUGCAUGGUUCAAAAUUGAAAGGCGGCUUCGGCUGUCACUUAUGGAUGGACUCGCGUCGCAUUAGCUAGUUGGUGAGAUAACGGCUCACCAAGGCAACGAUGCGUAGCCGACCUGAGAGGGUGAUCGGCCACACUGGGACUGAGACACGGCCCAGACUCCUACGGGAGGCAGCAGUAGGGAAUCUUCCGCAAUGGACGAAAGUCUGACGGAGCAACGCCGCGUGAGUGAUGAAGGCUUUCGGGUCGUAAAACUCUGUUGUUAGGGAAGAACAAGUGCUAGUUGAAUAAGCUGACACCUUGACGGUACCUAACCAGAAAGCCACGGCUAACUACGUGCCAGCCGCCGCUGUAA
rnacentral:rRNA from 1 species